GGGGAGGUGCUCAACGGCCUAAUGUAUUAUCCCAAGAGGUGCGGUUCUUUCACCUACUCCCCUUGAUUAAUUAACAGCAUAGGUUCGGUCAGCCUACAUCCUCCUGAGGAGGUUCAACUGCCUACGUCCUAUUCACAUUUUCCGACAUGCAACAUGUGUACAGCACUCUGGAUGGCUGUCCGUCCGAGUUGAUUGACUCAGGCUUGGAUCUGGCUUUCACUGCUCUUUGGACUUACUAGCUCUGUCCUGUGGUACUGGCUCUGGCUCUGCUCUGGCUGGAGGGACGGGCGUUUGGCAUUAUUGCCGUGUAGGACUCAUUGGCUCACUCAGACUGUUGCAUUGCUCUUGACCGUGGAGGUGUCUUACGAUCUUUGCUCUAGUGCGUCUCGGCUGGCUUCUCAGCGGCUUGUCGGCAUUCGCACUGGUAGCUCUGGCAUCUCAGCUUCAGUUCUACUACAAGUAGGCGGCGUGGGAGUGUCUCAGAAAGGGGUUUCACCCACGAGUUUCCCACGGUCGGAUGGCUCUGGCGACUUGCUCAUGUGGGCUACACAAGGCACGGAGGAGGAGCCUGGGCAUUUCGUCCGGCUCAAAACACUCGCUCUUGGCGCAUGGCGUUUCAGCUCAUGGCAGUUAGUCUCAACAAUAGCUGUGCGGGUCUUACAACACUUGGCCAGGCGGCUUACUUGAAGGCUCUUGCGUAUUUCAACGCGUCAUUGCUCAACAGAAGUUGGCUCUUGAACAUGUGGUUCACAAGUAGGGACACGUUCCCUUGGGAGUCUCGUGUUACUCAGCUGGCUCCUGGGUUCAUGUAUUGUCGAAGUGAAAAAAAGAGUUUGGAGCGCAGACGACUAAAAAAUACAGUGCAUGAUAGACGCA
rnacentral:misc_RNA from 1 species